rnacentral:rRNA from 1 species
CCAUGAAGCUGGAUUCGCUAGUAAUCGCGCAUCAGCCACGGCGCGGUGAAUACGUUCCCGGGCCUUGUACACACCGCCCGUCAAGCCAUGGAAGCCGGGAGUGCCUGAAGUGCGUGAGCGCAAGCAGCGCCCUAAGGUAAAACCGGUGACUGGGGCUAAGUCGUAACAAGGUAUC